ensembl:processed_transcript T2 brachyury 2
AUGGCCCAGAUCUUGAGAGACCAUUUUAAAACGCCAAAGAAACACAGGGGGUGUCACACCCAAGUGGAGGACAAAGAGAAGGCAGCACAGCAGACCUUGCCGGAACAGUCGCAGCCCGAAGCUUGGUCAGCAUCCCCGCCCAAGGCUUCAACCAGGUUCCCUUCCAGGUCCAACGCCUACCUGAUUAUAGGGUUGCAAAACGAGCUGACCAAAUGUGGGAUCUUGAAGAACAUGAGCGACGACGAGGAUUUCUGGAAACUGGUUCAGGAGGAAGCUCUUGGAGUGGGAACUAAAGAAAAGCUCCAGAAGAUAAAACUUAAGUUGAUGAAUCCCAGGCCCUGGCCACCAGCUGCUUCCAGGAGAAGGGAGACCGAGAUGCUGGUCAGCAGUGAUCAAGACAGUGGGGCACGCCAGGGAACACAGGACCAUCCAGGGAGAGAACAGGAAGUUGUGGAGGAUGGCCCGGAGAAGGAGAGGAUAAAACAGGGCCCGCACCAACCUGGCUUGGAUCCACCCAAGCAUCGAGGGGACACAGCGAGUCUUCUCGCUCGGCUCACGGAAUGGAGAAAAAGAUGCCAACAGCAUGGAGCUGCCCAGAGGCUGCAUCGAGGACCUGAGGAGAGCAAGACUAUGUGUAAGACAAGGACGGAUUCCCAAAGCAAGAUGUAUCUUAGCCGGUUGUAUCGGAUGUAUUCCACCUCCCUUGCUAACAUGGAAUUCUCCAGAAAACUGCUGGAAAGAGAUGGCCGCUUUGCAGACAUGGAUGCUGAGCACAGGGCCCGAAGCCUGCUGGAUUACAUGGUCCCAAGAGAACGUACACAGGCAGAUGUUCCACCAAGAGAACGUACACAGGCAGAUGUUCCACCAAGGGAACUAGAGGAGGAGGACUCCCCAACCCCUGAGCAGCAGCCUCAAGCAGGACCUGCCCUCCGAUUUCUGAAGUGCCAGAGCCCAGAAAGUCCACAGAGACGUCCCCACCUGAAGACAGGAAGACACCAAGUGACCCUGUGUGGCACGAGCAAGCUCUCCGAACACGAGAGGGGCACACUUGCUCCUGCCAGGAGGACCACAGAUCCCAGACCUACAGCACCCCUGACCCUUGCACACGUGAUCCAGACCCAUCCUGUGGUGGAGGCCAAGACAGCAAGUCGAUACUGGGUGAACAAUGUGGAUGAAGAAUAAGUUUUUUUUUUGUCUUUUUUUUUUUUAAACAGUCAUUAGAUAAAGUCCAAACAGGAUAUGACAGCUUUCUUUUUCUUUGAGUCUGCAUUAUGAUAAGCAGCGAGGUAGGUAUCCGGUAGAGAUGCUCGUGCCUGACACGAGAUGCCUGGCACUUCGUUCUUUCAUUAUUAUUUUUUAAGAUUUAUUUAUUUAUUAUAUGUAAGUACACUGUAGCUGUCUUCAGACUCGUCAGAAGAGGGCAUCAGACCUCAUUAUGGAUGGUUGUGAGUCACCAUGUGGUUGCUGGGAUUUGAACGCAGGACUUUAGGAAGAACACUCAGUGCUCUUAACCGCUGAGCCAUCUCUCCAGCCCUUGUUCUUUCGUUGUAAAGGUGACACCAUCAUGCAGAGCCCGAACCGUGAAUUUGGAUGAUGGAGACAGUCAGGCAGGCAGCACAGUGGGCAGCAGCGCUGAGCAGACUCAGACAUGAGGCUCCAGCCCAUGGCUAGUCACUUCUUCUGACUCAUGGUCCUUCUGCCUGGUGCUCUCUUUGCAGCAUCUUAAAUAAAAUAAGCUUGUUUUCUUUCUUAAAA